rnacentral:ncRNA from 2 species
UCGGCGGGCCGUGACUGGCGCGUUGAAGAUGGAUGACCAUCGGGGAGCGGUCCCACCCACUCGGGGUGACCGCCGUGCGCCUGGGCCUCAUCA